rnacentral:rRNA from 1 species
UACGUAGGGGGCAAGCGUUGUCCGGAAUCAUUGGGCGUAAAGAGCGCGUAGGCGGCCCGAUAAGUCCGCUGUGAAAGUCCAGGGCUCAACCCUGGGAUGCCGGUGGAUACUGUCGGGCUCGAGUCCGGAAGAGGCGAGUGGAAUUCUCGGUGUAGCGGUGAAAUGCGUAGAUAUCGAGAGGAACAACUGCGGCGAAGGCGGGUUGCUGGGCCGACACUGACGCUGACAGCGCGAAAGCUAGGGGAGCGAACGGG